UACGGAGGGUGCAAGCGUUAUCCGGAUUCACUGGGUUUAAAGGGUGCGUAGGCGGAUAGGUAAGUCCGUGGUGAAAUCCUGCAGCUUAACUGCAGAACUGCCGUGGAUACUAUCUAUCUUGAAUGUCGUGGAGGUUAGCGGAAUAUGUCAUGUAGCGGUGAAAUGCUUAGAUAUGACAUAGAACACCCAUUGCGAAGGCAGCUAACUACGCGAUAAUUGACGCUGAUGCACGAAAGCGUGGGAUCA
rnacentral:rRNA from 1 species